rnacentral:rRNA from 1 species
CGGGCCUCUUGCCAUCGGAUGUGCCCAGAUGGGAUUAGCUAGUAGGUGGGGUAACGGCUCACCUAGGCGACGAUCCCUAGCUGGUCUGAGAGGAUGACCAGCCACACUGGAACUGAGACACGGUCCAGACUCCUACGGGAGGCAGCAGUGGGGAAUAUUGCACAAUGGGCGCAAGCCUGAUGCAGCCAUGCCGCGUGUAUGAAGAAGGCCUUCGGGUUGUAAAG